AUUGAACGCUGGCGGCAGGCCUAACACAUGCAAGUCGAGCGGAUGAAGGGAGCUUGCUCCUGGAUUCAGCGGCGGACGGGUGAGUAAUGCCUAGGAAUCUGCCUGGUAGUGGGGGAUAACGUCCGGAAACGGGCGCUAAUACCGCAUACGUCCAGAGGGAGAAAGUGGGGGAUCUUCGGACCUCACGCUAUCAGAUGAGCCUAGGUCGGCUUAGCUAGUUGGUGGGGUAAAGGCCUACCAAGGCGACGAUCCGUAACUGGUCUGAGAGGAUGAUCAGUCACACUGGAACUGAAACACGGUCCAUACUCCUACGGUAGGCAGCAGUGGGGAAUAUUGGACAAUGGGCGAAAGCCUGAUCCAGCCAUGCCGCGUGUGUGAAGAAGGUCUUCGGAUUGUAAAGCACUUUAAGUUGGGAGGAAGGGCAGUAAGUUAAUACCUUGCUGUUUUGACGUUACCAACAGAAUAAGCACCGGCUAACUUCGUG
rnacentral:rRNA from 1 species